AAACUAACAAGGAUUCCCCUAGUAACGGCGAGUGAACCGGGAAGAGCUCAAAUUUGAAAUCUGGCGUCCUCAGGGCGUCCGAGUUGUAAUCUAUAGAGGCGUUUUCCGUGCCGGACCGUGUCCAAGUUCCUUGGAACAGGAUAUCAAAGAGGGUGACAAUCCCGUACUUGACACGACGACCGGUGCUCUGUGAUACGUCUUCUACGAGUCGAGUUGUUUGGGAAUGCAGCUCAAAAUGGGUGGUGAGUUCCAUCUAAAGCUAAAUAUUGGCGAGAGACCGAUAGCGAACAAGUACCGUGAGGGAAAGAUGAAAAGCACUUUGGAAAGAGAGUUAAACAGUACGUGAAAUUGUUGAAAGGGAAACGAUUGAAGUCAGUCGUGACCGAGAGGCUCAGCCGGUUCUGCCGGUGUAUUCCCCUCGGUCGGGUCAACAUCAGUUUUGUCCGGUGGAUAAGGACGGUAGGAAGGUGGCACCCUCGGGUGUGUUAUAGCCUGCCGUCGCAUACAUCGGGUGAGACUGAGGAACGCAGCUCGCCUUUAUGGCCGGGGUUCGCCCACGUCCGAGCUUAGGAUGUUGACAU
rnacentral:rRNA from 1 species